rnacentral:rRNA from 1 species
GACGAACGCUGGCGGCGUGCUUAACACAUGCAAGUCGAACGGAAAGGCCCCUUUGGGGGUGCUCGAGUGGCGCACGGGUGAGUAACACGUGAGUAACCUGCCCUUGACUUCGGGAUAACUUCAGGAAACUGGGGCUAAUACCGGGUAGGAAUCCUUGCUGCAUGGGGGGGGUUGGAAAGCGUCGGGGGGUUUGGAGGGAGUCGCGGCUUAGCAGCUUGUUGGUGGGGUAGUGGCUUACCAAGGCUUUGACGGGUUGCCGGCCUGAGAGGGAGACCGGCCACAUUGAGACUGAGAUACGGACCAGACUCCUACGGGAAGGAGCAGUGGGGAAUAUUGCACAAUGGGCGGAAGCCUGAGGCAGCAACGCCGCGUGCGCGAGGACGGCCUUCGGGUUGUAAACCGCUUUCAGCAGGGGCGAAGCUUGUGGUGACGGUACCUGCAGAAGAAGCACCGGCUAACUACGUG